UUAGGCAGCUACACAUGCAAGUCGAGCGGUAGCACAGAGAGCUUGCUCUCGGGUGACGAGCGGCGGACGGGUGAGUAAUGUCUGGGAAACUGCCUGAUGGAGGGGGAUAACUACUGGAAACGGUAGCUAAUACCGCAUAAUGUCGCAAGACCAAAGUGGGGGACCUUCGGGCCUCAUGCCAUCAGAUGUGCCCAGAUGGGAUUAGCUAGUAGGUGGGGUAACGGCUCACCUAGGCGACGAUCCCUAGCUGGUCUGAGAGGAUGACCAGCCACACUGGAACUGAGACACGGUCCAGACUCCUACGGGAGGCAGCAGUGGGGAAUAUUGCACAAUGGGCGCAAGCCUGAUGCAGCCAUGCCGCGUGUGUGAAGAAGGCCUUCGGGUUGUAAAGCACUUUCAGCGGGGAGGAAGGCGGUAAGGUUAAUAACCUUGUCGAUUGACGUUACCCGCAGAAGAAGCACCGGCUAACUCCGUGCCAGCAGCCGCGGUAAUACGGAGGGUGCAAGCGUUAAUCGGAAUUACUGGGCGUAAAGCGCACGCAGGCGGUCUGUCAAGUCGGAUGUGAAAUCCCCGGGCUCAACCUGGGAACUGCAUUCGAAACUGGCAGGCUAGAGUCUUGUAGAGGGGGGUAGAAUUCCAGGUGUAGCGGUGAAAUGCGUAGAGAUCUGGAGGAAUACCGGUGGCGAAGGCGGCCCCCUGGACAAAGACUGACGCUCAGGUGCGAAAGCGUGGGGAGCAAACAGGAUUAGAUACCCUGGUAGUCCACGCCGUAAACGAUGUCGAUUUGGAGGUUGUGCCCUUGAGGCGUGGCUUCCGGAGCUAACGCGUUAAAUCGACCGCCUGGGGAGUACGGCCGCAAGGUUAAAACUCAAAUGAAUUGACGGGGGCCCGCACAAGCGGUGGAGCAUGUGGUUUAAUUCGAUGCAACGCGAAGAACCUUACCUGGUCUUGACAUCCACAGAACUUUCCAGAGAUGGAUUGGUGCCUUCGGGAACUGUGAGACAGGUGCUGCAUGGCUGUCGUCAGCUCGUGUUGUGAAAUGUUGGGUUAAGUCCCGCAACGAGCGCAACCCUUAUCCUUUGUUGCCAGCGGUUAGGCCGGGAACUCAAAGGAGACUGCCAGUGAUAAACUGGAGGAAGGUGGGGAUGACGUCAAGUCAUCAUGGCCCUUACGACCAGGGCUACACACGUGCUACAAUGGCAUAUACAAAGAGAAGCGACCUCGCGAGAGCAAGCGGACCUCAUAAAGUAUGUCGUAGUCCGGAUUGGAGUCUGCAACUCGACUCCAUGAAGUCGGAAUCGCUAGUAAUCGUAGAUCAGAAUGCUACGGUGAAUACGUUCCCGGGCCUUGUACACACCGCCCGUCACACCAUGGGAGUGGGUUGCAAAAGAAGUAGGUAGCUUAACCUCGGAGCGCUACCACUUGG
rnacentral:rRNA from 1 species